rnacentral:rRNA from 1 species
AUACGGAGGGUGCAAGCGUUACUCGGAAUCACUGGGCGUAAAGCGCGCGCAGGCGGCUUGAUAAGUUGGAUGUGAAAGCCUACGGCUCAACCGUAGAACUGCAUCCAAAACUGUCAAGCUAGAGUCUGGGAGGGGAAGAUGGAAUUAGUUGUGUAGGGGUAAAAUCCGUAGAGAUAACUAGGAAUACCAAAAGCGAAGGCGAUCUUCUGGAACAGUACUGACGCUGAGGCGCGAAAGCGUGGGGAGCAAACAGGAGUAGAUACCCCAGUAGUCC